AGCUCCAAUAGCGUAUAUUAAAGUUGUUGUGGUUAAAAAGCUCGUAGUUGGAUCUCGGCUCUCAGGGGGCGGUCCGUUAUUUGACGCGACUGCCCCAUUUGAGAGUGUUUCUUCGGCGGAACUCCCGGGGUGCUCUUCGCCGAGUGUCCCGUUGGGGGCCGCCAGGUUUACUUUGAAAAAAUUAGAGUGCUCCAAGCAGGCUCGACACGCCUGAAUAUUUGUGCAUGGAAUAAUGGAAUAGGACGUCGUUCCUAUUUUGUUGGUUUUCGGGAAUCGACGUAAUGAUUAAUAGGGACAGCCGGGGGCAUUAGUAUUCAGACGACAGAGGUGAAAUUCUUGGACCGUCUGGCGACUCACUGCUGCGAAAGCGUUUGCCAAGUAUGUUUUCA
rnacentral:rRNA from 1 species